rnacentral:lncRNA from 1 species
CAUUUCAUUGUCAUCUGGACCAGCUGCACACCCCCUGCAUUCAAAGAGUCGCAAGGUCGAACCUUGAUGCUGUGUCUCUAGGGAGAGAGCUUCCUGAUGAGAUUGCAAGUGAAAUUAAAUCACUGCGUAUGAAAUCUCAGCAAGAAACUGAACCAGAUAUUGUGGAAGAAGCGGACCUGAACCGUGAGAAGAAAAUCAGGAGGCUCCACAAAGCAUUGGAUUCUGAUGAUGUCGAACUACUGGGACUAUUGUUGCGUGAAUCGUCCGACAUUACCUUGAAUGAUGCUUAU